CCUACGGGUGGCAGCAGUGAGGAAUAUUGGUCAAUGGACGCAAGUCUGAACCAGCCAUGCCGCGUGCAGGAAGACGGCUCUAUGAGUUGUAAACUGCUUUUGUACGAGGGUAAACGCAGAUACGCGUACCUGUCUGAAAGUAUCAUACGAAUAAGGAUCGGCUAACUCCGUGCCAGCAGCCGCGGUAAUACGGAGGAUUCAAGCGUUAUCCGGAUUUAUUGGGUUUAAAGGGUGCGUAGGCGGUAGGAUAAGUUAGAGGUGAAAGCCCGAGGCUCAACGUCGGAAUUGCCUGUGAUACUGGUCGGCUAGAGAGUAGGUGCGGUAGGCGGAAUGUAUGGUGUAGCGGUGAAAUGCUUAGAGAUCAUACAGAACACCGAUUGCGAAGGCAGCUUACCAAGCUACUACUGACGUUGAGGCACGAAAGCGUGGGGAGCAAACAGGAUUAGAUACCCUGGUAGUC
rnacentral:rRNA from 1 species